rnacentral:rRNA from 1 species
AGCAGUAGGGAAUCUUCCACAAUGGGCGAAAGCCUGAUGGAGCAACGCCGCGUGAGUGAAGAAGGAUUUCGGUUCGUAAAACUCUGUUGUAAGGGAAGAACAAGUACAGUAGUAACUGGCUGUACCUUGACGGUACCUUAUUAGAAAGCCACGGCUAACUACGUGCCAGCAGCCGCGGUAAUACGUAGGUGGCAAGCGUUGUCCGGAAUUAUUGGGCGUAAAGCGCGCGCAGGUGGUUUCUUAAGUCUGAUGUGAAAGCCCACGGCUCAACCGUGGAGGGUCAUUGGAAACUGGGAGACUUGAGUGCAGAAGAGGAUAGUGGAAUUCCAAGUGUAGCGGUGAAAUGCGUAGAGAUUUGGAGGAACACCAGUGGCGAAGGCGACUAUCUGGUCUGUAACUGACACUGAGGCGCGAAAGCGUGGGGAGCAAACAGGAUUAGAUACCCUGGUAGUCCACGCCGUAAACGAUGAGUGCUAAGUGUUAGGGGGUUUCCGCCCCUUAGUGCUGCAGCUAACGCAUAAGCACUCCGCCUGGGAGACGGCCA